AGACCACCAGCUAAGGUCCCAAAAUAUAUGUUAAGUGGAAAAGGAUGUGGCGUUGCCCAGACAACUAGGAUGUUGGCUUAGAAGCAGCCAUCAUUUAAAGAGUGCGUAAUAGCUCACUAGUCGAGUGACACUGCGCCGAAAAUGUACCGGGGCUAAACAUAUUACCGAAGCUGUGGAUUGUCCUUUGGACAAUGGUAGGAGAGCGUUCUAAGGGCGUUGAAGCAUGAUCGUAAGGACAUGUGGAGCGCUUAGAAGUGAGAAUGCCGGUGUGAGUAGCGAAAGACGGGUGAGAAUCCCGUCCACCGAUUGACUAAGGUUUCCAGAGGAAGGCUCGUCCGCUCUGGGUUAGUCGGGUCCUAAGCUGAGGCCGACAGGCGUAGGCGAUGGAUAACAGGUUGAUAUUCCUGUACCACCUAUAAUCGUUUUAAUCGAUGGGGGGACGCAGUAGGAUAGGCGAAGCGUGCGAUUGGAUUGCACGUCUAAGCAGUAAGGCUGAGUAUUAGGCAAAUCCGGUACUCGUUAAGGCUGAGCUGUGAUGGGGAGAAGACAUUGUGUCUUCGAGUCGUUGAUUUCACACUGCCGAGAAAAGCCUCUAGAUAGAAAAUAGGUGCCCGUACCGCAAACCGACACAGGUAGUCAAGAUGAGAAUUCUAAGGUGAGCGAGCGAACUCUCGUUAAGGAACUCGGCAAAAUGACCCCGUAACUUCGGGAGAAGGGGUGCUCUUUAGGGUUAACGCCCAGAAGAGCCGCAGUGAAUAGGCCCAAGCGACUGUUUAUCAAAAACACAGGUCUCUGCUAAACCGUAAGGUGAUGUAUAGGGGCUGACGCCUGCCCGGUGCUGGAAGGUUAAGAGGAGUGGUUAGCUUCUGCGAAGCUACGAAUCGAAGCCCCAGUAAACGGCGGCCGUAACUAUAACGGUCCUAAGGUAGCGAAAUUCCUUGUCGGGUAAGUUCCGACCCGCACGAAAGGCGUAACGAUUUGGGCACUGUCUCAACGAGAGACUCGGUGAAAUCAUAGUACCUGUGAAGAUGCAGGUUACCCGCGACAGGACGGAAAGACCCCGUGGAGCUUUACUGUAGCCUGAUAUUGAAAUUCGGCACAGCUUGUACAGGAUAGGUAGGAGCCUUUGAAACGUGAGCGCUAGCUUACGUGGAGGCGCUGGUGGGAUACUACCCUAGCUGUGUUGGCUUUCUAACCCGCACCACUUAUCGUGGUGGGAGACAGUGUCAGGCGGGCAGUUUGACUGGGGCGGUCGCCUCCUAAAAGGUAACGGAGGCGCUCAAAGGUUCCCUCAGAAUGGUUGGAAAUCAUUCAUAGAGUGUAAAGGCAUAAGGGAGCUUGACUGCGAGACCUACAAGUCGAGCAGGGUCGAAAGACGGACUUAGUGAUCCGGUGGUUCCGCAUGGAAGGGCCAUCGCUCAACGGAUAAAAGCUACCCCGGGGAUAACAGGCUUAUC
rnacentral:rRNA from 1 species